rnacentral:rRNA from 1 species
AUUGAACGCUGGCGGCAGGCCUAACACAUGCAAUUCGAGCGAGCGGCGGACGGGUGAGUAAUGUCUGGGACACUGCCUGAUGGAGGGGGAUAACUACUGGAAACGGUAGCAAAUACCUCAUACACUCAGAUGGGCCCAUGUAGGAUUAGCUAGUAGGUGGGGUAACGGCUCACCUAGGCGACGAGCCCUAGCUGGUAUGAGAGGAUGACCAGCAAACAGGGCACGGAGACACGUGUCAGACGCCGUCGGUAGGCAGCUGUGGGGAAUAUGGCCAAAUGGGCGCAAGCCGUAUGCAGCCAUGCCGCGUGUGUGAAGAAGGCCGUCGGGUUGUAAAGCACUUGCAGCGGGGAGGCGUUACCCGCAGAAGAAGCACCGGCUAACUCCGUGCCAGCAGCCGCGGUAAUAC